GGAUUAACGAACAUCGAGGUAUAGGCAAUUUACGUGUUUCGGAAUUACGAACCUUUGGAAUUACGAAGUGUAACCGAAAUCAGCACCAUGAUCAGUCGCUGAGGUUUUUGUAACAGGGCCCUGAUGACGGAACGGUUUGAUAAAUACAGACAAAUAGGAAAAGCAUGGUUUGGCAUAAUCUAUCAAAGAAUGACAUUGUUAUUUUUUUGGGGGGGAUCCCAUAUACAAGCAGUGCCUCAUUUGUCAUAUAAUAUGAAUUGAUUCAUUUCAAUGAAUCACUCUUGUCUACCAAAAAUUGACAAAUAUAACAUUUAUAUAUUGGUAUUCGUUGCAUUAUCAGACACAUUUCAUACAUGCUUCUAUAAAGAAAAAAAAACAGUUGGGAUGAACCUGGUAAGUUAUGGACUUUGAAUUGAAAGACAUACAGUGGAGCUGCUCACAUGCAACAACACAAAGUAGAAUAUUUGAUAUUUCAUAUAUUUUUUAUUCUUUCUUUGAUGGAUUUAUGCCAAUUUAUUUUAAUCCAAUCCAUUUUUAAGCCCGAUUAUUAUGUUCUUCUCAUUUCCUGUUUUCAUUAAAACCAUGACCAACUUGAUAUCAGAUUCAACUUCUCCUGUUAAAAUGAUAUUCCAUAAUACCUCCUGGCUGUGUAUAUCUAGCAUUAUUUCCAAGAAUAGCGUAUGCCUUAAGGCCACCGCCCACCUUUAUGACCCGACUGAUCUGCGACUGGCUUGCGACCGAGUGAGGGGAGAUGUGACGUCACAGCUCUUGUCAGCUUGAGCGUUGCAGACCGGUCAGAGACAAGUCGCAAGGAAAAUUGUAAGGAUUUGACAUUUCGAAUGACUGGAUCGCAAGCUCGAUCCAACUUCCAGCCAAUCAGACAGCAGAGUUGCACAACGAUAAACAACAUGCAUACGCAGUAGUAAGCGCUCUUUCUCAGUUGCUAUGGCAAAAAGCGAAUGCAUGAGUCGCAGAUCGGAUCGCAAGGUGUGCGGUGGCCUUUACUCUACAAGUUACAAGUGUAUAUAGUGACCUCUUCUAGUUUGAAUGCUUAGCACCGUCUAGUCAAAUUUUGUUUGUGUAAUCCACUGUUUUUAUCCUUACUGUUUCUUUAACCUGAAAUAGUAGUGUAUGUAUUUUAAGAGUACGAGGUUUUGCUAAAUCCGUUGUCGACUAAAUUCUGUAAUAAUAUUGAUCCCAUGACAUAAAUCUUAUGAUUGAUUUUUUGUGAUUGAUUGUGCAUUGUAGUCAAUGCAAUCAGUCAUAAAUAUUGUUUAAAAAUCAUUCUCAAAGCUGUGUGUUACCGAGCCCUGAAAUAACCUCUUCUUCUCACAGAUUUUGAAACAUGAAGAAAUAAUUUUGUUUACUAAAGCAGAAGUGUCUCAUGAAUACAUUUUCUUUUUCUUUUCUUUGUGUAAGGAGCCCUGAAAUGACCUCUUCUACUCACAGAUUUUGAAACAUGAAGAAAUAAUUUUGUUUACUAAAGCAGAAGUGUCUCAUGAAUACAUUUUCUUUUUUUCUUUUCUGGAGGUACGAAUACCUCUAUCUCAAUAUCAUGGGAUACACCAUUUGUAAACAGUAGACUGCUCUGGUAGAUUACUCAAAUGCUUACAAAAUACAUUUCCACUAUGGGUGCCAACUAAUAAAUUACUCUUAUCACCCUUUCAUGUGCUUUGUUUUACAACCAAUGAAGCUUUGAGGUUCAAGAAUAAUUGAGUGUUGCUUGGUCGGGCAAUCAUAUGAGAUUUUUACGUUAGAGGAUGAAGUUUUAUUUGCAUUGGAAUUACAUUUAUCUACAAACUUGCUUAUUCUGAAAUGCUAUUUAUGGGGAACCGUCAGGGGAGAAUUUUACUAAGCAUCCUGUCAGGGAUUUUCACAGAAAAAUGUACCCUUAACCAAUCGGUUCGAAGUAUUUUAGUAGCUUUCAACAGUUUAAAGUGAAAGUCACUGACAUAUUUAUUUAUGAAACACUCCCUUGGUUAUAAUUGGCAACAUGCCACUAGUCAUUGGAUUAAUACUGCAUACCGAAUAAUAUAUAUUUGUGUUUUACGGGCACAAUUUGUUCGAGAAGAAUACAUCGUUUGUACAAACCAUAGAUGUGGAAGGAUAUUCACUAUGAUGAAUUUCACAUUGAAAUUAUGUCUUGUAAAUACAUAUACUUGAAAUAAUGUGUACAGGGAGAGUUAUUGAAUACAUGGUUAGUCGUACACAGAGCAGGAUAUUUCCUUGUGAAGGAAGUUUCAUGUUUAAAAUUCAUAACCGCGCUCAAAAUUGAAAUGCCUGUACAUUAAUGUUUAUUUUUGUAUCUCUGUAUUAACGAUAUUAUAAUGCAAUCGUCAUGUGUUCAUGAAGUGA